GCAGUGCAUGUAUACUAACCCCUGGGUAUCAUGCAUCUUCUCAUUGACUUCCUCAGUACCACCAGCAGCUCUUGAGAGGCAUGAUUUCCCUCCGCAAAAAGUCAAGUGGGAAUGUUUCUGAAAAGGUGCUGCUGGUGAGGAACUAAGAGAUACACACGGCUGGAUCUGUUGCUGAACACUGGGAGACAUCCUAUAGGACAAAUUUAAAAAAGAUAAACAGUCACUCUAAUUCAAGAGGGAGGAAGAAGUCCGUAGACAGCAUUUUAAAUGUGCUUGGCACAUUUUCAUCCCAAGGGGUGCAAGUAGCGGAAAAAUCUCUCGAUCAGAUUCUGCCACUUCUGUUCUCAAAAGGUGGGAAAACGAGAAGGAUUGUAUGUCCUUCAGAGUUCAUGUAGGCCGGGCAGUGGGAGGAGAAAAACAAAACGAAGCUGAAAGUGAGUGUUGAAUGGGCUUUCCCAGGAUCCCCAGAAAUAGAGGCAUUCCAGACGUAAAUCCCUAUAAGGAAACAGUGUGGACUUAUCCUGCCCACUUAUAUAUAUGACUUGACAAGUGGGAAGGGGAAAUCUACUUGAGAACCAA